ensembl:lncRNA
ACAUUUUAAAAUAGAAAUGUACGAAAAAUUAUUAGAAAUUGAUAAAAAUGCUAAAAAUAAAAGCAAUUAUGAAAAUAUUAUAAAAAUGAUUAAACAAAAUCAUGUAGAUAAUUUUUUGCAAACACGUGAUAACCAAACAAAUAACAUAUUUCAAAAAAGUGGCAUAAGUGACAUCUUUGCACGAAAUACAACACAAAUUGUAUAUAAUAAAAAAGACACUAUUAAAAGUAAUAAUUUGAAUAUGCAUAACGACGAUAACAAAACACAACAAAUGAUAAAAAAUGAAAGUAAUAUAGCAAAGAGUGAAAAUGUUGUAGCAAAAAAUGGAAAUAAAAUAAUAAGUAUUCCCAUAAAUUUUAAGUUAAAAAAAAACACAAAAAAUAAUCAAAAUAAUCCAAAUAAUUUUACUAAACGUAAUGAAAAUAAUCAACGUGACCAAAAUAAUAAAAGUAAUAUAACUAACAAAACUAUCAGGAACAGCAAAAAUAUCAUUAAACUUAACGUAAAACAAAAUAAAACAAAUUCUGUAAAACCAUUUUUAGUAUUAAAUAGUAAAACUUUUACAAACAUAAAUAAUACUCAAAAAUAUAACACUUUUAAUAAUGUUAAAGCACAAAUAACUAACAAAGAAGAAUUUUUAAACUCUUUUAUAGAAAAAAAUGAUGAUAAUAAAAAAACCAUGAAUAUAGAAAAUGUAUUUAAUUUAAAAAUGAAACCAAAUUUAAAUGUUCCAGAAAAUCAAUCCAACAAGAAACAAAUCGUUAAUAUUGCACGUACAGGUACUCUUUCCGAUGAUACAGUAUUAAAUCAUUUUCAUAACAAUUGUAACAGUAAUAAUAAUAACAAUAAUAACAGUAACACUAGCUAUAAUAAGAGUGAUAACUAUAUAAGGAUGCAAAAUAUGAACAACAGCUAUAACAAAUGUAAUGACAUAACUACUGCACCAAAAAUUGUUUACAAUACAUCUAAACCAUACCAACAUGUCGUAGAAAUAAAAUCAACAAAUGCAACAUAUGACAUUCAACCAGAAAAGAAUAAAGAUAUAUUAAAUAAUAAUAUAAAAUAUAUUUCGAAACCACUUAAAGAUAAGAAUUAUAAUAAUGAAAUAUAUAAACAAAACAAUGAUAAGCAACAAAAAAUUACACAAACACAAAGUCAAAAUUCAAAUGAAAUAAACAUACAUAAUAUAAAUGAAGAACAAAACGAAAAAAUAAAUUAUAAUCAUUCACUUAAUAAAAACACAAUUCUAAUAAAUAAUGAAAAUUUGUCCAAUUAUGUUGAUAUCAAAAAGGCGAUAAUAAAUAAUUAUCAUAAUGAACAAUGCGAUAUAAAAAUAUAUGAAUCACCAACUGAUAAGCAACUAUUAAAAAACUUAGCUCCAAACGACGAAAUUGAAGAUUUUGUUUUAGAAAAUACUAACAAAAAUGAUGAUACAACAUAUAUAAAAGAUAAUGACAUAUCAUGUUACACAAAUGUUAUUAUACCACAUGACGAAUUAAAUAAUGUGAACAAAUCAAUGACUUAUGACAGUGAUGAUAAAAAUAGAACAUAUGAAAAUACAACAAACAUUGCUAUAAUAAACGACCAAACAACAGAAACAAAUGUACAAGAUCGAAAAAAUCUUCAAAAUGAAACAAAUUCCCAUGACAACAAAUGUACCGCACAAAACAUUAUGAACAUAAAUAAAAAAGAAAAUAUAAUGUUAAACAAAAUACCCGAUAUUAUACUAAAUAGUGAUAAAUCUGAAAAUACUAGCAAUAAUGUUAAAACAGAAGGUGAUAUAAACAUAACAAACAACAAUAUUCAUAAUGAAAUAAAAAAAAUUAAUGUUAAUGAUAUUAUUCCUCAUGCUAAAAAACAGUCUAACGAAUACUUCAAAGAAAAUGUAACUAUUUGUAGCAGCUUAUAUAAGAAAGAUGAUAGUAAAAUCAAUAAUAUUUACGAUCAGUGUGAUAAUUAUAAUGAUGUUGUUAGUGAUGUUAAUAGUCAUAAUAAUAAUACUAAUGCUAAUGAUAUUACUACUAAUAGUAAUAAUGAUAACACUAAUAUGAGUGAAGCUCAUAAUAAUAGUAGUAACAAUAAUGAAAUUACUAUUAAUGUUAAUCUUAGUGAUGCUCAUAAUAAUAGUAAUACUGAUAAUAUUAGUAAUAAUAAUAAUGAUAAUAAUAAUAAUAAUAAUGAUAAUAAUAAUAAUAAUAAUAAUGAUAGUAGUAAUAAUAAUGAUAGUAAUAAUAAUAAUGAUAGUAAUACUGAUAAUAUUAGUAAUACUGAUAAUAUUAGUAAUACUGAUAAUAUUAGUAAUAAUACUAAUGAUAGUAAUAAUAAUAAUGAUAGUAAUAAUAAUAAUGAUAAUAAUAAUAAUAAUGAUAGUAGUAAUAAUGAUAGUAAUAAUAAUAAUAGUAAUAACAAUAAUGAUAGUGAAACUAGUCGUGGUGAUAAUGUAAGAUC